UUAUGACGAGUGUGAAAAUAGCGACGGUAUUUGCAUAAGUGGAGGUUGUCCUGAUAAUUCUCAAUACAUUGGAAUGUGUGAUGAUGAUCUGUUCUGUUGCAGAAGACGGGAGGAAUGAUAGAUGCCUUUGAAAAGUGGAAGAUGCUCCCUCUCUUUGAGAGCCGCUGGAUCCCGCUUGAUCCCCAGCUAGGGACUUCUUCUCCAAAGCAUCCAGACUGAAAAAAGCAACAGUUUCAAGGCUUACUUGAGCUUGUGCCUUGCAAUAAAAGCAGAUCCAAAA